rnacentral:rRNA from 1 species
UGGCUCAGGACGAACGCUGGCGGCGUGCCUAAGACAUGCAAGUCGAGCGGGGAGAUUAGGGGGCUUGCUCUCUGGUCUCCUAGCGGCGGACGGGUGAGUAACACGUGGGUAACCUGCCCGGCAGUGGGGGAUAACCCUGGGAAACUGGGGCUAAUACCGCAUACGGUCCGAGCCUCGCAUGGGGCUUGGAAGAAAGGCCGUCCUUGUGGGCGGUCGCUGCCGGAGAGGCCCGCGGCCCAUCAGGUAGUUGGUGGGGUAACGGCCCACCAAGCCGACGACGGGUAGCCGGCCUGAGAGGGUGGUCGGCCACACUGGGACUGAGACACGGCCCAGACUCCUACGGGAGGCAGCAGUCGGGAAUCUUGCGCAAUGGGCGAAAGCCUGACGCAGCGACGCCGCGUGGGGGAGGAAGCCCUUCGGGGUGUAAACCCCUGUCGUCCGGGACGAAGGUUGGGGGUUGAAAGGCCUCCAGCUGACGGAACCGGAAGAGGAAGCCCCGGCUAACUACGUGCCGUGAUCAGUGGUAAGACUCAGGGGCCGAGCGUGGCCAGGCAUCACUGAGCUUAAAGGCAUCGUAUGCGGCCUGGCUACUCGGAUGUGAAAGGUCCCGGCUCAACCGGGGAGGUGCAUUCGAAACUGCCGGGCUUGAGGGCAGGAGAGGGCUUCGGAAUUGUCUGUGG